GAAACAGGGGUUUGUCAGGAAAAGGAAAUAGUAUAAUGAAAUGACAGACAGAAGGGAGGAGGGAAGAGGAUGAAUGGGGCAGGUGGGAGCUGUCAGCACAAAACAAGAGAUCGCAUAACUUUUAACAGCAGUGGGGAGACGCAAUAAGAAUCUCUUAGCAGUACGGAUAGUUGAAAGGGACAGAAGACAGGACGUAGUUGAAUUUGUUGCAUAGAUGUCCUAAAAGGGAUACGGUAGCAAUGGAGGAUGUUGCUGAGGAGAAGGGAUGGAGCCUGGCUGCUUGGACUGUGUGCGCGGUGUUACUGCCGGUCCUGCUCACUUUUUGGUGCAGUGUUCGCAGGUCCCGGAGGAGGAACAUCCCCCGCACAGGGAAGCACGGCUGGCAAGACACAGACCUCUUCGGGAAACCCACGUAUUGUUCUGUGUGCGGCCAGCAUAUACUGCGCGGGGUGUACUGUCGCUCGUGUGGCCUGUGUGCGGAUGAAGCCUGUGUCCGGAGAGCCAAUAGCCGCUUUCCCUGCAAGGAGAUCGUACUGCGGGCUGAGGGCAGGGGCCACCACUGGGUGCGGGGAAAUGUCCCUCUGUGCAGCCUGUGCUCAGUGUGCGGCCAGCAGUGCGGCUCUCAGCCCAAGCUCUGUGACUACAGGUGUAUUUGGUGUCAGCGGACUGUGCAUGAUGACUGCAUGCAGAGCAACUUAAAAAUCGAAGACUGUGAUUUCGGUGAAUUUAAAAAUCUCAUCAUUCCUCCAAGUUACCUCUCAGCAGUCACUCAGUUAAAGAAAGGCAAAACUACUGAUUAUGAAAAGUUGGCAUCUUCCAUGGGAAAACAAUGGACUCCCUUAAUAAUCUUGGCUAAUACUCGUAGUGGGAAUAAUAUGGGGGAAGCCCUACUCAGUGAAUUUAAAGGUCUCUUGAAUCCCAUCCAGGUGUUUGACCUCAGCAAUGUCUCUCCAUUUCAAGCACUUCAGUUGUGUACAUUAUUGCCAGACAAAUCAGUCAAGGUGCUCAUUUGUGGAGGGGAUGGCACUGUUGGCUGGGUUCUAGAUGCUGUGGAUGAAAUGAAGAUUAAGGGUCUGCAAAGUUGUGUUCCACAAGUAGCAGUUUUACCUCUUGGGACAGGAAAUGACCUGGCUAACACAUUGGGUUGGGGAGCAGGGUACGCUGGAGAUGUACUUGUUGAGCAAAUACUUCGGAACGUAAUGGAUGCGGAUAGUAUCAAACUUGACAGGUGGAAAGUUCAAGUAACAAACAAGGGUUACAGUUUAAGGAAACCAAAGGUGUUAUCAAUGAAUAACUACUUUUCAGUAGGACCAGAUGCAUUAAUGGCUUUAAAUUUUCAUACCCAUCGUGAGAAGACGCCUUCCCUGUUCUCUAGUAGAAUUGUUAAUAAGGCAGUUUACUUUUUUUAUGGGACGAAGGAUUGUUUGGUUCAGGAAUGCAAAGAUCUCAACAAGAAAGUAGAGCUGGAGUUAGAUGGAGAAAGAAUAGACUUACCGAAUUUGGAAGGAAUUGUAGUGCUGAACAUUGGUUACUGGGGAGGAGGCUGCCGCCUAUGGGAAGGAAUGGGAGAUGAACCAUAUCCCUUAUCAAGAUAUGAUGACGGACUGCUGGAGGUUGUUGGAGUUUAUGGAUCCUUUCACUGUGCACAGAUUCAAGUGAAGUUGGCAAAUCCUGUGAGACUUGGACAGGCGCACACUGUACGGCUCAUCUUGAAAAGUUCAAAAAUGCCAAUGCAGGUGGAUGGAGAGCCCUGGGCCCAAGGUCCGUGCACAGUCACCAUUACUCACAAGACACAUGCACUGAUGUUGUACCACUCAGGAGAACAGACAGAUGAUGAUGCUUCCAGUGGAUCGGACCAUGAGAAGCAUGAGCAGAGCGAUGAGGAUAUGUAGCCUUCUAAGCAGUUCUCCCCAUCUAUUUUGCUGCUGUAGCAGGUUGAUUACAAUUAUCUGUUUUAAACCUUUCCUGUAUUUGUGUAAGGUUUAAGCACACGUUUUACAGCAGUGUCCGACUGGAUCCUCAACCUUUUGAACCCGUGAGCAACAUUCAGAAGUAAAAAGAAGUUGGGG